rnacentral:rRNA from 1 species
CAGGCGCGAAAACUUUACAAUGCGGGCAACCGCGAUAAGGGGACCUCGAGUGCCAGCAUCUUAUGUUGGCUGUCCCCAUGUAUAAAUCACAGGUGAUAGCAAGGGCCGGGCAAGACCGGUGCCAGCCGCCGCGGUAA